rnacentral:rRNA from 1 species
GAUGAACGCUGGCGGCGUGCCUAAUACAUGCAAGUCGAGCGAACAGACGAGGAGCUUGCUCCUCUUACGUUAGCGGCGGACGGGUGAGUAACACGUGGAUAACCUACCUAUAAGACUGGGAUAACUUCGGGAAACCGGAGCUAAUACCGGAUAACAUGUUGAACCGCAUGGUUCAACAGUGAAAGACGGUCUUUCUUUCACUUAUAGAUGGAUCCGCGCCGCAUUAGCUAGUUGGUAAGGUAACGGCUUACCAAGGCAACGAUGCGUAGCCGACCUGAGAGGGUGAUCGGCCACACUGGAACUGAGACACGGUCCAGACUCCUACGGGAGGCAGCAGUAGGGAAUCUUACGCAAUGGGCGAAAUCCUGACGGAGCAACGCCGCGUGAGUGAAGAAGGUCUUCGGAUCGUAAAACUCUGUUAUUAGGGAAGAACAAAUGUGUAAGUAACUAUGCACGUAUUGACGGUACCUAAUCAGAAAGCCACGGCUAACUACGUG